rnacentral:rRNA from 1 species
AUUGAACGCUGGCGGCAUGCUUUACACAUGCAAGUCGAACGGCAGCGCGGGCUUCGGCCUGGCGGCGAGUGGCGAACGGGUGAGUAAUACAUCGGAACGUGCCCAGUAGUGGGGGAUAGCUCGGCGAAAGCCGGAUUAAUACCGCAUACGACCUGAGGGUGGAAGCGGGGGAUCUUCGGACCUCGCGCUAUUGGAGCGGCCGAUGGCAGAUUAGCUAGUUGGUGGGGUAAAGGCCUACCAAGGCGACGAUCUGUAGCUGGUCUGAGAGGACGACCAGCCACACUGGGGCUGAGACACGGCCCAGACUCCUACGGGAGGCAGCAGUGGGGAAUUUUGGACAAUGGGCGAAAGCCUGAUCCAGCAAUGCCGCGUGUGUGAUGAAGGCCUUCGGGUUGUAAAGCACUUUUGGCGGGAACGAAAAGGACUGUGCCAAUACCACGGUUCGAUGACGGUACCCGCAGAAUAAGCACCGGCUAACUACGUG